GACGAACGCUGGCGGCGUGCUUAACACAUGCCAGUCGAACGGAAAGGCCCUGCUUUUGUGGGGUGCUCGAGUGGCGAACGGGUGAGUAACACGUGAGUAACCUGCCCUUGACUUUGGGAUAACUUCAGGAAACUGGGGCUAAUACCGGAUAGGAGCUCCUGCUGCAUGGUGGGGGUUGGAAAGUUUCGGCGGUUGGGGAUGGACUCGCGGCUUAUCAGCUUGUUGGUGGGGUAGUGGCUUACCAAGGCUUUGACGGGUAGCCGGCCUGAGAGGGUGACCGGCCACAUUGGGACUGAGAGACGGCCCAGACUCCUACGGGAGGCAGCAGUGGGGAAUAUUGCACAAUGGGCGGAAGCCUGAUGCAGCAACGCCGCGUGCGGGAUGACGGCCGUCGGGUUGUAAACCGCUUUCGCCUGUGACGAAGCGUGAGUGACGGUAAUGGGUAAAGAAGCACCGGCUAACUACGUG
rnacentral:rRNA from 1 species